rnacentral:rRNA from 1 species
AACGAACGCUGGCGGCAUGCCUAACACAUGCAAGUCGAACGAGACCUUCGGGCCUAGUGGCGCACGGGUGCGUAACGCGUGGGAACCUGCCCUUAGGUUCGGAACAACUCCCCGAAAGGGGUGCUAAUACCGGAUAAUGUCUUAGGACCAAAGAUUUACCGCCUUUGGAUGGGGCCGCGUUGGAUUAGCUAGUUGGUAGGGUACAAGCGUACCAAGGCGACGAUCCAUAGCUGGUCUGAGAGAAUGAUCAGCCACACUGGGACUGAGACACGGCCCAGACUCCUACGGGGGACAGGAGAGGGGAAUAUUAGACAAUGGGCGAAAGCCUGAUCAAGCAAUGCCGCGUGAGUGAUGAUGGCCUUAGGGUUGUAAAGUUCUUUUACCCGAGAUGAUAAUGACAGUACCGGGAGAAGAAGCUCCGGCUAACUCCGUG